rnacentral:rRNA from 1 species
UUUAGGGAGGAUUUAGCAGAGUUGUAAAAAAUAUUGAAAAGAAAGGCCAAAUGAGCGUAGUGUUUUUUGAAAUUUAGUAAAAGUGGUGAAAAAGAUUAAAAAGAAUAGUGAAAGAAAUUAUUUUUUACUUUUUGAAUUAUGGUUUAUAGAGGAACUAACAGACGGUUGUGUCCUGAAACGUUAAGAUCUAUUAUCUUUAGAGUUUGUUGUUGCAAAACCAGAAGGGAUAAGAUAAUAGGGGUGAUAUGCUUUUCAUUUAACGUGAUAUCUGGUUGGUAGGAAAAUAUAUCUAGUGUAGCGCUUGACAAAGUAGUGGGAUCUUGGGGGUAAUCUUUAAAAUAUUAACUAUAGUUUUUAAUCAUAAGGUAGGCUUUAGGAAGGCUGCGUUAAGUAAGUUAGUGAGAAAUAUUUCAAAAUUUUUUAAUUCGACCUAUCAUCAUUUCUCAAGUCGUGAUUUUUUAAUAGUAUAAAAUUAUUAGAUAAUAAUUUAUUUUCCUAGAACUAAAAUGAGGAUUAUCUUAGUUAGAAAAAUUGAGACCCAGAAUAGGAACUCGGCAAAAAUAUCAACCGCAUGUUUACCAAAAACAUCUCUCUUUGAGGGUUUAGUGAUAAAGAGUAGGCCCUGCCCGGUGACGAGAGUUCAACGGCUGCAAGUUAUAGCUUGUACUAAGGUAGCGCAAUAAUUAGUUCUUUAAUUAGGGGCGGGUAUGAAAGGGUUGACGUGUUGAUAACUGUCUUUUUUGGGUUAAUUAAAUUUUAUUUUUAGGUGAAAAAGCCUAGUGUGUGGGUAAGGGACGAGAAGACCCUAUGAAGCUUUAUUAUUGUUCUAAAUUGUGUAUAUUUCAGAUUUGUAUUUAGCUGGGGCAGCAUAGUGCAUGGAGUACUUGAAUUGUUGAUCCAUUAUUUAAUGAAAAAAGUGAGCUACUCUAGGGAUAACAGCGCUAUUUACUUGGCGAGAAGAAAUCUAUAAGUAAGAUUGCGACCUCGAUGUUGGACUAGGAUUUCCUUUGGGUGUAGCAGCUCAAAAGGGUUGGUCUGUUCGACCACUAAUAUCCUACGUGAUCUGAGUUCAGGCCGGCGUGAGCUAGGUCGGUUUCUAUCUUUAUUUCAAAAUAUAUUUGUUUUGUACGAAAGGAAUUAAAAAUUGUAAUGAUUUACGUUCAAUAAUUAUUAUAGUUAUAGUAGUG